UACGUAGGUGGCAAGCGUUAUCCGGAUUUACUGGGUGUAAAGGGAGCGUAGACGGCAGAGCAAGUCUGAAGUGAAAGCCCGCGGCCCAACUGCGGGACUGCUUUGGAAACUGCCCGGCUAGAGUGCUGGAGAGGUAAGCGGAAUUCCUAGUGUAGCGGUGAAAUGCGUAGAUAUUAGGAGGAACACCAGUGGCGAAGGCGACUUUCUGGACCGUAACUGACGUUGAGGCACGAAAGUGUGGGGAGCAAACAGG
rnacentral:rRNA from 1 species